CUACGGGGGGCAGCAGUGGGGAAUAUUGGACAACGGAGGCAACUCUGAUCCAGCAAUUCCGCGUGAAUGAUGAAGGUCUUCGGAUUGUAAAAUUCUUUUAGUUGGGAAGAUAGUGACGGUACCAACAGAAAAAGCACCGGCUAAUUACGUGCCAGCAGCCGCGGUAAGACGUAAGGUGCAAGCGUUAUCCGGAAUUACUAGGCGUAAAGGGCAUCUAGGCGGUUAAUUAAGUCAGAGGUGAAAAGUCAGGGCUCAACCUUGGCCUUGCCUUUGAUACUGGUUAACUAGAGUACGGGAGAGGAGGGCGGAACUACAAGUGUAGCGGUGAAAUGCGUAGAUAUUUGUAGGAAUGCCAAUGACGAAGGUAGCUCUCUGGACCGAUACUGACGCUAAAGUGCGAAAGCUAGGGGAGCAAACAGGAUUAGAUACCCUUGUAGUC
rnacentral:rRNA from 1 species